rnacentral:rRNA from 1 species
UACGUAGGGUGCAAGCGUUGUCCGGAAUUAUUGGGCGUAAAGAGCUCGUAGGCGGUCUGUCACGUCGGCUGUGAAAUCCCGAGGCUCAACCUCGGGUCUGCAGUCGAUACGGGCAAACUAGAGUAUUGCAGGGGAGACUGGAAUUCCUGGUGUAGCGGUGAAAUGCGCAGAUAUCAGGAGGAACACCGGUGGCGAAGGCGGGUCUCUGGGCAAUAACUGACGCUGAGGCACGAAGGCCAGGGGAGCAAACGGG